UGUAGAUGAACUCCAAGAAAGAGGUAAUUGGCCGGUGACUGGGCGGAGAUAACCACAAAGCGCGUGCCAACUGAGCCAAUGCCGGUGACUGGGCGGAGCGGAGAAGCGCGCGACAACUGUGCCAAUGGAGCGGGACACGGAUGUCAGCUGGGAGCGCACAACAACACCGCGGAUGUAACGGGAAACACUGCACACCUACCUAAGCUGAUAAAACGACAAGAGGACGGAUGUAACGGGAAUCUCUGGGCAGCUGCGCUGAUAAAACGGGACACGACAAGAGGAUGGAUGUAACGGGAAACGCUGCUCACCUGCGCUCAUUAAACGGGACACGACAAGAGGAGGCAGCCAAGCGUGAACCACCUGUGCGCACGGAGAUGGUGGUGAGCUUUGCGCAGACAGCAAGCCGUUAGCAGAUAGUCUAGUGGUAUGAUCAUUGAAUUCUACACAUGUGUUGAUGGACAGAAGGCUCCUGGACACUGCACAAUCAUUUGGAACGAUCUGAUCGCUCCCCGGACUCAGCAAAACGCGCGUCUGUGACAGCAGCUUUGCGCAGGAGUUCACGUGACCAAAACAUAGCAGAGACACGCGGUAAAAACGUCACCACUGCAUGACUGUCACACCUGAGUAGGAGAUCAGAAGCAUCCUUUAAGGAUUAGACACCGUGAAACAUGGAUGCACCUGCUGGAAGACUGGGAGACUAGCUCUGCACCAGUUAACCCAUUAAACCUUCAUGCUAAUCGUGCAGCAUCUCAGUAACACACUUUGGAUGACUUCACCUCCUCCAGCCAGCCAAACCUAAUGGGAAGGAUCAUCUUGGCGUGCAGAGGUCAGCUAGACUGCCCUAGAGGUGUGCCACAGAUGACACUUGUCACGAUUUGAGGAGGAUGGUUUGGACCCAAGACGCAGAACCCAGGAUGUCAAAAGGCAGAAGGUGGUUCAAAGUAAAAUCCUUUUAGUUUAGGACAAAGAAAAAAAGUAAUCCGAGGCAGCGAGCCAAAGUCCAAAACGUCCUGGAGAACAGGAACACCCAAAGCUCUUCUUAGAGCACAAAAACCUGGAGACAAAGUUCAUACAGAGCACGAGCAACGCAGACAACAUACCACAAUGAACCGACAUCAGACACAGACCAGACAGAGCUUAUAUACACAGGGAGAAGUGAUUAGGGAAAAUGGCAGCAGGUGUGUGAAGUGAGAGCUGGAGGGAAGACAGGUGAACCUAAUAAUCAAAAUGGGCAAACAGAAACAGAGGAGGGCCAAAUAAACCUAAGAAACUCUAA